UGGGGAAUUUUGGACAAUGGGGGCAACCCUGAUCCAGCAAUGCCGCGUGUGUGAAGAAGGCCUUCGGGUUGUAAAGCACUUUUGUCCGGAAAGAAAACUUCGGGGCUAAUACCCCUGGAGGAUGACUGUACCGGAAGAAUAAGCACCGGCUAACUACGUGCCAGCAGCCGCGGUAACACGUAGGGUGCGAGCGUUAAUCGGAAUUACUGGGCGUAAAGCGUGCGCAGGCGGUGCUGUAAGACCGAUGUGAAAUCCCCGGGCUUAACCUGGGAACUGCAUUGGUGACUGCAGCGCUGGAGUAUGGCAGAGGGGGGUGGAAUUCCACGUGUAGCAGUGAAAUGCGUAGAGAUGUGGAGGAACACCGAUGGCGAAGGCAGCCCCCUGGGCCAAUACUGACGCUCAUGCACGAAAGCGUGGGGAGCAAACAGG
rnacentral:rRNA from 1 species